rnacentral:rRNA from 1 species
ACUCAAAUGAAUAGACGGGGGCCCGCACAAGCGGUGGAGCAUGUGGCUCAAUUCGAUGCAACGCGAAGAACCUUACCUAGCCUUGACAUGCAUUGGACCGACCCUGAAAGGGGUCUUUCCCGCAAGGGACCGGUGCACAGGUGCUGCAUGGCUGUCGUCAGCUCGUGUCGUGAGAUGUUGCGUUAAGUCGCGCAACGAGCGCAACCCCUGUCCUUAGUUGCCACCAUUCAGUUGGGCACUCUAGGGAGACAAACCCUCUUUGAGGGUGGGAAGGUGGGGAUGACGUCAAGUCAGGAUGGCCCUUACGGCUAGGGCUGCACACGUGCUACAAUGCCCAGUACAGAGGGACGCAAGACCGCGAGGUGGAGCAAAUCCUUAAAACUGGGCCCAGUUCAGAUUGUAGUCUGCAACUCGACUACAUGAAGUUGGAAUCGCUAGUAAUGGCGUAUCAGCUACGACGCCGUGAAUACGUUCCCGGGCCUUGUACACACCGCCCGU